rnacentral:rRNA from 1 species
AGAGUUUGAUCCUGGCUCAGGAUGAACGCUAGCUACAGGCUUAACACAUGCAAGUCGAGGGGAAACGACAUCGAAAGCUUGCUUUUGAUGGGCGUCGACCGGCGCACGGGUGAGUAACGCGUAUCCAACCUGCCCAUCACUUGGGGAUAACCUUGCGAAAGUAAGACUAAUACCCAAUGAUAUCUCUAGAAGGCAUCUGAAAGAGAUUAAAGAUUUAUCGGUGAUGGAUGGGGAUGCGUCUGAUUAGCUUGUUGGCGGGGUAACGGCCACCAAAGCAACGAUCAGUAGGGGUUCUGAGAGGAAGGUCCCCACAUUGGAACUGAGACACGGUCCAAACUCCUAGUGGGAGGCA